GGAACAUUCAAAGAAACUUCAUUAAAGACUAGUCAAUGGAAGAUAUUUUGGAUGAGGAAAACGAUGGAGACUAUAUGGAUGCGGAGUCGCAGGGCCAUAGCAACACUUCCUCUUUUCCAAUAUAUAAUGCAUCGCUUUGAGAUUCAAGUAUAUUCAGAACCAGAGUCUUCUUGAAGUUGAUGAGUCAGAUGAUGAACCACUUUGAACAAAUUUGGAUGCCAAGAAUAACCAAGGUUAAAC